AGUGGAAUGACGUCUCUGCAGUCUCUGGGCGAAAAACAGCAGGAGCUUUUGUGAGUGGUCAGGCAGGGAACAAUGACACUGGAGUGCGCGUGCACGAGACGACUCCAUGUUUUUCUUUCAGUCUAUGAAUGAAUAUAACGUCGCCCGGUUGGAAUACUAUCGCUAUUUUACGAGAAAAAUAGCAUAAAAAUGUAUUUUAAACAGCGUUUGACAUGCUUCGAAGUACGGUAAUGGAAUAUUUUGAAUUCUUUUGUCACGAAAUGCGCCCGUGCGUCACCCUUCGGAUAGUGACCUCAACGCACGAACAAAACGGAGCUAUUUCAAUAUAACUAUGGAUUAUUUCUAACCAAAACAACAUUUGUUGUUGAAGUAGAAGUCCUGGGAGUGCAUUCUGAUGAAGAACAGGAAAGGGAGGACAAAGUGGCCCUGGGCCCUGCAGAGACAGGGAUUGGGCCUGAGUGUGUCCAUCCAGUGCUUUACAAUAGAAACUGUGAGGAAACAUAUUAUAAUGUCAAAUCCUGUCCUGCACUCAGUGGAAGAUUUGAGCUCUUCUCGGACACCAUCCAUCCAUGAUGAGCCUGUCCUGCACUGAAGCCUCUGAUCACCUCAACCCCUGUCCUGCACUGAAAUCAAGCCCCUGAACACCUCAACUCAUGCCUCAUACCCUCAUUCAGUCACUGCUGUGAUAACUUCCUAAUACUGUUCAAAUCAUGUCCUGCCCUCAGUGGAAGAGUUGAGCUCUUCUCCAACACCAUCCAUCCAUAAUGAUAAAGAAAAAUGACAGAGUAUGCUUGUCUAAACCUGUGAUAGCAGUAUAUGACAAUACGCUCACCAUUAACAUCAAAAUCUGACUGUUCAUAUUCCCUUUCUCAGUUGUUGUGAACUGUUAUGACAUGUCUUAUGGUGUUACACUGUCGUACUACACAACAUUUCUCAUUUGUGGUAGACGCAAUCAGUGUUAAGGCUCAAAUAAAGGGAACUUUAAAACUUAAUCAGUUGAGAUCUUGAAAUAAUACCAUUGUCUUUUGUAAUAUGAAUGGAGAUUUAAAAAAAAUCUGAUAAAGGCACCUUACACUUUUCUUUUGACAAUGCAUAAUUCUGGUCUUAUAACUACACAAAUUGAGCUUCAAGGAUUCUAUUUAUAUCUUGGCAUAUCUUGGAGGGAACUGA
rnacentral:lncRNA from 1 species